UGCUGAUGCUGCUGGAUCAAGGACCACGCUCUGAGAAGCAAGGGUUUAUGGGGCUUUCUUGGACUGCACUCUGGCCAAACGCAGUGACUCCAGUAAGGCGUGGCCUUUGCAACCACAGGAAGAGCAGAAGUCUGCUGUGGAGCCGCCUGCAUCCAAGUCCAGCUCUGCUGCUUGAUGGGAAUGGGCCCUUGGGACAGAUUCUUCUCUUGGAAUCUGAGUGUUCUCAGAAGAGGCAGAGGAUGUUGACACAAACUUACAGACUGGGACUCCAAGGAUCAGCCAGAUGAAAUGCUAUGUGCAGAGUCUUCAUUUCCCAGCUCAGUGGUGGACAGCAGAGGACUCUAAGGCACUCCUUGAACAGACCCCUAGUCUGAACUUGAGGAAGAGAGAGACUUCCCUUCUAAAGACGUCUGGCCUUCCAGCGGGAGAGACCAGGAACUGCAUUUGGAUUUAAAGAAACAAAACUUUCUGGCACCUACUGUGAUCCAGCCACCUCUUGGGAUGCACACGUUUCUCUUCAACUGCGUGAUGUGAACUGCGUCACAUGGUAAGAGAGCUCAGCUAUUGAUCAAUGGCUUUACCAGUCUUUAGUUCACUCAAAUCUAGGAAAGGAGCUGACAGCCUAUUUUGUCUUGGGGCCUAAGCAGGGUUCUCCGUUCCAGAUUUACCAGCAAAGGUCCAUUUCUUUUCUUUCUUUCUUUUUUUUUUUUUUUUUUUUUGAGAUGGAUUCUUGCUCUGUCGCCCAAGCUGGAGUGCCGUGGCACCAUCUCAGCUCACUGCAACCUCUGCCUCCCAGGUUCAAGCAAUUCUCCUCAACUUCCUGAGUAGCUGGGAUUACAGGUUCCUGCCACCACUCCUGGCUAAUUUUUUUGUAUUUUUAGUAGAGAUAGGGUUUAACAAUCUUGGCCAGGCUGGUCUUGAACUCCUGACCUUAUGAUCUGCCCGCCUUGGCCUCGCAAAGUGCUGGGAUUACAGGCUUGAGCCACCAUGCCCGGCCGGUCUGCUGUCUAUUUCUUAAUUGGCUCAGAACUUGAAGGAAAAAAUGGUGUAAUGAAUAUUAUACAAUGUCAACCUUAUUUUUAUUCUACCCACCAUUUUCUUCAUAGCUUAGGUGUAUUAUCUUAUUUUAUUUUGAAAAAUCCCAAAGAGGUGGACACUACUAUUGUUUUAAUUUUACAGAUGAAUUUAAAAAUAGCAGAGAUUAGAUUACUAAAGUUGAGAUUUAUAUAGCUGGUAAGAAAGAAGACUGAAAUUUGAAUCUAUUA
rnacentral:lncRNA from 1 species